UCCACGGUCUCCCUCUGAUGCCGAGCCAAGGCUGGACGGUGCUGCUGCCAUCUCGGCUCACUGCAGCCUCCCUGCCUGAUUCUCCUGCCUCAGCCUGCUGAGUGCCUGCGAUUGCAGGCGCACGCCGCCACGCCUCACUGGUUUUCGUUUUUUUUUUUGGUGGAGACGGGGUUUUGCUGUGUUGGCCGGGCUGGUCUCCAGCUCCUAGCCGCGAGUGAUCCGCCAGCCUCGGCCUCCCGGGGUGCCGGGAUUGCGGACGGAGUCUCGUUCACUCAGUGCUCAGUGGUGCCCAGGCUGGAGUGCAGUGGCGUGAUCUCGGCUCGCUACAGCCUCCACCUCCCAGCCGCCUGCCUUGGCCCCCCAAAGUGCCGAGAUUGCAGCCUCUGCCCAGCCGCCACCCCGUCUGGGAAGUGAGGAGCGUCUCUGCUUGGCCACCCAUCGUCUGGGAUAUGAGGAGCCUCUCUGCCUGGCUGCCCAGUCUGGAAAGUGAGGAGCGUCUCUGCCCGGCCGCCAUCCCAUCUAGGAAGCGAGGAGCGCCUCUUCCCCGCCGCCUUCCCAUCUAGGAAGUGAGGAGCGUCUCUGCCCGGCCGCCCCG
rnacentral:lncRNA from 1 species